rnacentral:rRNA from 1 species
GAUGAACGCUGGCGGCGUGUCUAAUACAUGCAAGUCGAGCGAACAGACGAGGAGCUUGCUCCUCUGACGUUAGCGGCGGACGGGUGAGUAACACGUGGAUAACCUACCUAUAAGACUGGGAUAACUUCGGGAAACCGGAGCUAAUACCGGAGAAUAUAUUGAACCGCAUGGUUCAAUAGUGAAAGACGGUUUUGCUGUCACUUAUAGAUGGAUCCGCGCCGCAUUAGCUAGUUGGUAAGGUAACGGCUUACCAAGGCAACGAUGCGUAGCCGACCUGAGAGGGUGAUCGGCCACACUGGAACUGAGACACGGUCCAGACUCCUACGGGAGGCAGCAGUAGGGAAUCUUCCGCAGUGGGCGAAAGCCUGACGGAGCAACGCCGCGUGAGUGAUGAAGGUCUUCGGAUCGUAAAACUCUGUUAUUAGGGAAGAACAAAUGUGUAAGUAACUAUGCACGUCUUGACGGUACCUAAUCAGAAAGCCACGGCUAACUACGUG